AGGCGCGUAGCUCAGUUGGUUAGAGCACCACCUUGACAUGGUGGGGGUCGCUAGUUCGAAUCUAGUCGCGCCUA
rfam:Limnohabitans sp. 63ED37-2, complete genome.